rnacentral:rRNA from 1 species
GACGUAGGGAGCAAGCGUUGUUCGGAUUUACUGGGCGUAAAGGGCGCGUAGGCGGCGUGACAAGUCACUUGUGAAAUCUCCGGGCUUAACUCGGAACGGUCAAGUGAUACUGUCGUGCUAGAGUACAGAAGGGGCAACUGGAAUUCUCGGUGUAGCGGUGAAAUGCGUAGAUAUCGAGAGGAACACCUGCGGCGAAGGCGGGUUGCUGGGCUGAUACUGACGCUGAGGCGCGAAAGCCAGGGGAGCGAACGGG